UGCCGCGUGCGGGAAGAAGGCCUUCGGGUUGUAAACCGCUUUUGUCAGGGAAGAAACGGGCGUUUCUAAUAAAGAUGCCUAAUGACGGUACCUGAAGAAUAAGCACCGGCUAACUACGUGCCAGCAGCCGCGGUAAUACUUAGGGUGCAAGCGUUAAUCGGAAUUACUGGGCGUAAAGCGUGCGCAGGCGGUUAUGCAAGACACAUGUGAAAUCCCCGGUCUCAACCUGGGAACUGCAUUUGUGACUGCAUGGCUAGAGUACGGUANAGGCCCAUGGAAUUCCCCGUGUGUCACCGGCAUGC
rnacentral:rRNA from 1 species